GAACGUUGAAGACGACGACGUUGAUAGGUCGGGUGUGUAAGCGUAGCGAUACGUUGAGCUAACCGAUACUAAUGAACCGUGAGGCUUAACCUU
rnacentral:rRNA from 1 species